ensembl:lncRNA
AAAUGGUUUCAAACUGAAAGAGAGUAGCUACAGGUUGGAUAGAAGGAAAAAGUCUCCUACAGUGAAGGUGGUGAGUCACUGGAACAGGUUGCCCAGAGAUGUGAUGAAAGUCCUGACCCUGGAAACAUUCAAGACCAGGCUGGACAGGGCACUGAGCAACCUGAUCUAGCUGUGGGUGUCCCUGUUCAUUGCGGUAAAGAAUGGAGAACCAGCCAAGAAGUCAGAAACGAAAGCUUUUCUUAUGAGCAUGAAAUAAAGUGAAUGAAUGAGAAAAUACACAGUUCAGCACUGAACGAAGAAAAAUAAUGUAGCAAGUUACUGUUUCCUGUCCUAACAGUAAAAGACCUCAGACCACACAGAUUCAACUCUACAUAACUUGGAUCACAUAAGGCAUAAACAGAUUAAUCUGUAUGGAAAUCCUAAUAUUUGAGCUAUUGCAUAGUUUUGGACCUGACCAGAGCAUGUUUUGUGGCAUCCUACCAAACUGUCGAUUUUUCAUCUUCUUCUGUCAGAUCUGUGCACACAAACACAUAUUUUUGCCACCACCCUUCAUGAAGAAAGAACCCAAUGGGAGGAAACUGUCCACCUCCUCCCUGCUGCCAUCAGACACACAGUCAAGCAGGCAAACCAGAAGGUGAGGACUGAAAUAGAGUGAAGAGUCAAGAUGUGUACAAUCAGAGGACAUAUAUGAUAGUAGUGAUGUUGAUAAGACUGGUUAAAAAUUCUUCACCAAACAGCUUUCACAGUUUCUUACUAGAAAUCUGACUUUUUGACAGUGAAUAUUUUUGUGGGAUUCUCCAUAAAUAUUAAAAAUCAUUUUCUUUUUCUGUCCUCCAAAGAAAAGCUGAACAUUUGCACAGAAGUAAAUCAUAAUUAUCUUUAAUAAUGCUCUGAAACACAUGAGCCUUUGAAGAUUAUCGUAUCUGAACUGGAAUAUCAG